AUUUUGUGCAUUUAAUCAGAUGCAUUGUUGUACCUGCGGGUUUGGCGGCUCUUAUAAUAUCUGUCGUUAUAGUCGAAAUCUGGACAAAAACUAAAGGAAAAGAAACGAAGACUGAUGGGAUGGUGGAGAGGAAAAAUGAUGAAGGUGAAGAUCCAGUGAUAUAUGAGCAGAUUCGAGAUGAUUGCACUUCUGCAAUGCUGCACUGAUGAACAACUUCAAGAUCUACUCCACAAAAAAUGUUUAGAAUUUAAUCUGUCAUUAAAUAUUAUAUUUACCAGACUAAGACAGAACACUUCAUCCAUUUCAACCCAAUGUUGCCCCUGCAGCUGACGUAUAACCU